rnacentral:rRNA from 1 species
CCUACGGGAGGCAGCAGUGGGGAAUAUUGGACAAUGGGCGCAAGCCUGAUCCAGCCAUGCCGCGUGAGUGAUGAAGGCCUUAGGGUUGUAAAGCUCUUUCAGUAGGGAAGAUAAUGACGGUACCUACAGAAGAAGCCCCGGCUAACUUCGUGCCAGCAGCCGCGGUAAUACGAAGGGGGCUAGCGUUGUUCGGAUUUACUGGGCGUAAAGCGCACGUAGGCGGAUCGUUAAGUUAGGGGUGAAAUCCUGGAGCUCAACUCCAGAACUGCCUCUAAUACUGGCGAUCUAGAGUCCGGAAGAGGUGAGUGGAACUCCUAGUGUAGAGGUGGAAUUCGUAGAUAUUAGGAAGAACACCAGUGGCGAAGGCGGCUCACUGGUCCGGUACUGACGCUGAGGUGCGAAAGCGUGGAGAGCAAACAGGAUUAGAUACCCUGGUAGUCCACGCCGUAAACUAUGAGAGCUAGCCGUUGGGGAGUUUACUCCUCAGUGGCGCAGCUAACGCAUUAAGCUCUCCGCCUGGGGAGUACGGUCGCAAGAUUAAAACUCAAAGGAAUUGACGGCUGAGAGNGCGAGCGACACGAGGAGAG